rnacentral:ncRNA from 1 species
UAAAAGUUUUAUCCUUGCUAUUUGGUCUCUUUACUUUCAUUUUAUAUAUUAAUUUUGACUCUAAAAGUUUUAUUUGUAGUAAUUAUUAUUGUUUGUUCAAGUCGUUUUGGAUACAGUGAUUUUUUUAAUUCCGGCAAAUUUCGUGCCAGCAGCCGCGGUUACACGAUUGGAGUUAGAGAUUAUUAUUAGUUAGCAGUAAUUUUAUUAUUUUCUUCAGUUAGGAAUUUUAGGUGAAAUUUAUAUUUUUAAUUAAAUUAUUUUAUUGAGGCUGUGAAACUUAUCUUUAAAACUAGGAUUAGAUACCCUAUUAUAUUAAGUGUUAAUUUUUUACUAGGGUAGUAAUAGUUAAGUUCUUUAAACCCAAAGGAUUUGGCGGUACUUUAGUCCUUUCAGAGGAGCCUGUCCUGUAAUCGACAUUCCACGAUAGAUUUUACUUAUUUUUGUUUUCAGUUUGUAUACCUCCGUCAUAAGGGUAUCUUAUCAGAGUAAAUUCCCCCCAACAUUUAAUGUUGUUAUGUCAGGUCAAGGUGCAGUUUAUAGAUAAGUUGAGAUGGGCUACAAUAUUUAUAUAUAUACGGAUUUCUUUAUUUAUGUUAGAAUGAAGGUGGAUUUGAAAGUAAAUGAAAUAAUUUAUUUAUUUGAAUUUGGCUCUAAAUUAUGCACACAUCGCCCGUCGCUCUCGUGAUAAAUGAGAUAAGUCGUAACAUAGUAGAUGUAUUGGAAAAUGUAUCUAGUAAGCA